rnacentral:rRNA from 1 species
GAUGAACGCUGGCGGCGUGCCUAAUACAUGCAAGUCGAGCGAACCACUUCGGUGGUGAGCGGCGAACGGGUGAGUAACACGUAGGUUAUCUGCCCAUCAGACGGGGACAACGAUUGGAAACGAUCGCUAAUACCGGAUAGGACGAAAGUUUAAAGGUGCUUCGGCACCACUGAUGGAUGAGCCUGCGGCGCAUUAGCUAGUUGGUAGGGUAAAGGCCUACCAAGGCGACGAUGCGUAGCCGACCUGAGAGGGUGAACGGCCACACCGGGACUGAGACACGGCCCAGACUCCUACGGGAGGCAGCAGUAGGGAAUCUUCGGCAAUGGGCGAAAGCCUGACCGAGCAACGCCGCGUGAAUGAUGAAGGCCUUCGGGUUGUAAAAUUCUGUUAUAAGGGAAGAAUGGCUCUAGUAGGAAAUGGCUAGAGUGUGACGGUACCUUAUGAGAAAGCCACGGCUAACUACGUG